CGGGCACUUGAUAGCUCAGUUGAUAGCUAGCAUCUGACAAGAGAUUCAGGGGGUCAGGGUUGGAAUCCUAGAUGCAGAAAAUGUGCACAAAACAUCUACAAGUGUUCACAGUGACACUGUAUUGAGCUAGUAACCUUACUUAUAUUGUACAUGUACUUAGAAAACACCUAGAUGUGUUACACCAAUUAGCUAGAUAAUCCAAUAAAUAUUUUAAAUUUGCAGUGUAACAUUGGCUGAGAAAAAGAAAAUGGUCUUGGUGACAAAAAAGAAAACGUUGGGCCCAUGCAGCUUUACAGAAUGAGGAGGUUCAGAUGUGGAUAAGGAUAUUCUGCCAUGCUUCACAUCAAAAGAAGAUGCCAUGCCUCAUUUUGCAGUGUCCAAAGGUCCAAGGUUGAUAGCGCAAGGUCAUCAAUGAUGCUGGGGGAAGCUGGAAAGCCAGAAGAAAAUCCACAUGUCCAAGUGAAUGACUAAGAUACCCUUUCACACACAGCCACUGUCGAUCACAGGGAUCCAACUUGGAUGAGCUUCUUGGUACGCUAAUCGUUGACAUUUGAGGAACCUUCCCAAGCAAGAGUACACCUGUAGUGUGUGUUUAGAUAAUACAAUGUAUAAAGAAUAAGUAAAAAUGUUGUUAAUCAUACUAAGAUUAUCAUGCUAUUUCUUAUGAGAGUUCAUUGUCCAUCAGAUUGUGAAAGAUGUAUAAUACAAAUCCCAAUGGAUUUAUAGACUACUCAAUUAUUGAUAGAGUGUAAAAUGCAAGAUUUGAUAUUUUCUUAAAGAUAUUGAUUAGUUAAUUAUCUAGCAUUAACAAACUUUAGAAGAAGGUUUAAAAGUGGAUGUAAAUGCAUACUUUGAUCUGCAUUUUAAGUUUUUGGGUUUUUUUUUUUUAAUUUCAACUCCUGACAGUGUAUAUAUAUACUUAUUCUACAAUGACUUUUCCAUAUAUGCAUUUAACACAGUCAGUUAUAGAAAGCAAUGUUUUUAUUAGUCCCCUACCGGUUUUCACCGGAGGGGACUAUAGUUUUCUUCUGCGUCCGUCAGUCCGUCUGUCUGUCCAUCCGUCUGUCUGUCCCACUUCAGUUUUCAACACUUUUUUUCUCUAUGCGUUUGAGGAAUAAUAUGAAAUUUGCUGAACAGCUUCAAAAUGUCAAACUAAAGAUCAAGUUUACACUUUUGUAGUGUUUGGUUGACAUAUAAUUCGAGAAAAUUUAUUUUUUAUAUUCAAAUUUUUUAAUGUUCGGUUCGAUAUUCUGCAUAACAGUGCAUUAUAUUAAUUGUUUUCACAAUUUCCACAAACCGGUAGGGGACGUGUAUUGCUUAUGCAAUACUCUCAGAAUGCUUGUUUUUCAUGUUCAGGUUGAUAAUUGUAUUGCUAUAUGAUUUGUAGAUUUAACUUUAUACAAUUGGUCUGCAUUAUUUCUUUCAUGUGAAAAUACAUGUACAUGUCAUUUACAAUAUGUAUAAACUUAAUGCAUUAUCUGUGCUGUUUAUAUUUUUAUGGCAUGCUUUUACUUAUUGAGUUCAAUAUGAAGGACUGUAUGUAAGGUAUCUUUAACAUGUUUAAUAGCAAUGUUUGGGAAGAUUUUUGUUUUGUAUGCUGAUCAUUUGUUCUUUUUAUUUGCAAACUCUAAUUUUGCCUAUUUCUUAAAAUAAUUUUAAAAAAGCCCUAAUGAGAAAAUUACAUGUGGAAUCAGACAAGAAGAUCUGACAUAUAGCUUCUUUUCAUGUAUCAUACAUCUAUUUCACAAACAAAAAUCAUAAUUUUUAUUAUUUAGGAGUUUAUGGAAAACUCUUUUAUGUAUCACAGCUUCUUUAAAAAUCUGUUAUACACUGUACUUACAAAAAAUAUCCAGAGUAACUUAGAGAAAAGUAUUUAUUUACUAUUUCACCCUUUUUGAUAAUUGAAUCUUGGAGUUGUGCAUGUAAUUUAUGUGUUAGAGAUAAGUCCUCCUUUGUUAUAUUUCUUCAUAUUUUACAAUCAUCUUGCUUGUUUUACAUGCAUGUAAUGUGUUAUAUUCUGAUCUUUUACAUGGACUAUACAACACUAGAAAAAGAUAUGAUAUUUAUAUUGAUGGACUGUAUUGCUGUGCUUUUUUUUUUUGCAAACCAUUAUAUUGAUAAGUUAUGAAUUACAUGUAUUAUUAUUAUGUGUGUUACUAUAUUAACAAAGCUGAAUGGAAUUAUUUUUUGAUUUAUUAUAACUUUUGGGUUUAGAUUUAUAACCAAUAUUGAAAGUUUUGUAUGUAUUACUGAGGCCACACCAAUAUACCCGGUAAUUUCUUGUUCAUCAGACAUCCAAUAAAAAGAGGUACAAGCUGGUGAGCGAUUGCUUGAUAAAAUUAUAAUUUUUUUGUAGCCAACAUAUUUGGGCAGUACAUAAAUCAAUUUGUGCUGGCGAUUAUAUUUUUUCUUCUUGUUCUUGAUAUAUGAAUAAAAAUGAUUUAAAACACAAAAAAAUAAGGCAGAUUUAGAACAGAAAACAGUGCAGAAUUUCCUGGAUGCGGGAAAUUAUAAUGAUAUUAUUUUUAAAUUAGUUUUUAUUUAAAUACGAUCAUGUGGGUCAAACAAACAAAAAAAUUAUAUUGGUGUGGCCUAACAUGACUUCUUAAUUUAAAGAAUUAAUUAGUUUACAUAGACUGUGCUUAUAAUGAAAUAUGUAUCAUAAACACUAAUA